UGCAGUCGAGCGCUCACUUUUAGUGGGAGCGGCAGACGGGUGAGUAACGCGUGGGAACAUACCUAAUAGUACGGAAUAACGAUUGGAAACGAUCGCUAAUACCGUAUACGCCCUUCGGGGGAAAGAUUUAUCGCUAUUAGAUUGGCCCGCGUUGGAUUAGCUAGUUGGUGGGGUAAUGGCCUACCAAGGCGACGAUCUAUAGCUGGUCUGAGAGGAUGAUCAGCCACACUGGGACUGAGACACGGCCCAGACUCCUACGGGAGGCAGCAGUGGGGAAUAUUGGACAAUGGGCGCAAGCCUGAUCCAGCCAUGCCGCGUGAGUGAUGAAGGCCUUAGGGUUGUAAAGCUCUUUCGCUAGGGAAGAUAAUGACGGUACCUAGUAAAGAAGCCCCGGCUAACUUCGUGCCAGCAGCCGCGGUAAUACGAAGGGGGCUAACGUUGUUCGGAUUUACUGGGCGUAAAGCGCACGUAGGCGGAUUAGUAAGUUAGGGGUGAAAUCCCAAGGCUCAACCUUGGAACUGCCUUUAAUACUGCUAAUCUAGAGAUCGGGAGAGGUGUAUGGAACUCCUAGUGUAGAGGUGGAAUUCGUAGAUAUUAGGAAGAACACCAGUGGCGAANGCGAUACACUGGCCCGAUACUGACGCUGANGUGCGAAAGCGUGGGGAGCAAAGGGAUUAGAUACCCUGGUA
rnacentral:rRNA from 1 species